GAUCCUCUGGAUGGCAUGCUCGCUGGUACCCUCACCAUUCUGGCUGCCUUCCUCUAGAUGAUCUCUGGCAUGUCUCUGUCCUCUCUUAAAGAUUGUAAUCAUGCUUUGGGGUCCUACCUUACAGGGAAGCAGGGGCACAGCAAACCUUGUUUGCCCACAUGAGCUAUCUGGGAUUGAUUGUCGUUUGCAAGCACCAUCCUCCAUGUCCUUUGCUCCUUUUCCCAAAGUCGUCUGGGUGUGACAGAGAGAUGCAGAGCUGGGUAGAGCUGCCCACAGAUGUCUUUGAGCUGUAAACAACAAUUAAUAAAGGGAUCUGACCUCCA